CCCCGAAAGGGGCAAGUAGAGUGGCAAACGGGUGAGUAACGCGUGGGUGACCUGCCUUCGAGCGGGGGAUAACGUUCCGAAAGGGACGCUAAUACCGCAUAACAUCCUGCCUUUAAGAGGUGGAGAUCAAAGCUGGGGAUCGCAAGACCUGGCACUUGAAGAGGGGCCCGCGUCUGAUUAGCUAGUUGGUGAGGUAACGGCUCACCAAGGCAACGAUCAGUAUCCGGCCUGAGAGGGCGGACGGACACACUGGGACUGAGACACGGCCCAGACUCCUACGGGAGGCAGCAGUGGGGAAUUGUUCGCAAUGGGCGCAAGCCUGACGACGCAACGCCGCGUGGAGGAUGAAGACCUUCGGG
rnacentral:rRNA from 1 species